CGAACGGGUGAGUAACACGUGGGCAAUCUGCCCUGCACUCUGGGACAAGCCCUGGAAACGGGGUCUAAUACCGGAUACUGACCCGCCUGGGCAUCCAGGCGGUUCGAAAGCUCCGGCGGUGCAGGAUGAGCCCGCGGCCUAUCAGCUUGUUGGUGAGGUAACGGCUCACCAAGGCGACGACGGGUAGCCGGCCUGAGAGGGCGACCGGCCACACUGGGACUGAGACACGGCCCAGACUCCUACGGGAGGCAGCAGUGGGGAAUAUUGCACAAUGGGCGAAAGCCUGAUGCAGCGACGCCGCGUGAGGGAUGACGGCCUUCGGGUUGUAAACCUCUUUCAGCAGGGAAGAAGCGCAAGUGACGGUACCUGCAGAAGAAGCGCCGGCUAACUACGUGCCAGCAGCCGCGGUAAUACGUAGGGCGCGAGCGUUGUCCGGAAUUAUUGGGCGUAAAGAGCUCGUAGGCGGCUUGUCGCGUCGGUUGUGAAAGCCCGGGGCUUAACCCCGGGUCUGCAGUCGAUACGGGCAGGCUAGAGUUCGGUAGGGGAGAUCGGAAUUCCUGGUGUAGCGGUGAAAUGCGCAGAUAUCAGGAGGAACACCGGUGGCGAAGGCGGAUCUCUGGGCCGAUACUGACGCUGAGGAGCGAAAGCGUGGGGAGCGAACAGGAUUAGAUACCCUGGUAGUCCA
rnacentral:rRNA from 1 species